UACGAAGGGUGCAAGCGUUACUCGGAAUUACUGGGCGUAAAGCGUGCGUAGGUGGUGAGUUAAGUCUGUCGUGAAAGCCCCGGGCUCAACCUGGGAAUGGCGAUGGAUACUGGCUCGCUAGAGUGCGGUAGAGGAGAGUGGAAUUCCCGGUGUAGCAGUGAAAUGCGUAGAGAUCGGGAAGAACACCCGUGGCGAAGGCGGCUCUCUGGGACGGUACUGACGCUGAGACGCGAAAGCGUGGGGAGCGAACAGG
rnacentral:rRNA from 1 species